rnacentral:lncRNA from 1 species
GUUGGAAAUCAGUCGAUUUAUGGGGGUCAGUCGGUUUAUCCUAACACUAGUGUUCAGAUAAAAACAGCUUAUUUGAUUGCCAUCAGCUUUUGGCUUUGAGUUUUCAUGUAGUUAAAAACCUAAUGGGCACAAAUCAGAAAGAUAGCCUGCAAGAACAGUGCAACUUCUUCAACAGGAUAAUUGUAAAACCUCCCAUCCC